rnacentral:rRNA from 1 species
AUGUGCACUGCCUUGUACAUGAUGGUGCUGUACGAUCGAGCCCGUGUAGGCCCCACCACAAAAACUUCGGACGAAAUCUCUAUCAUAUGUUUGUUCCGGCUUAUUCGCAAGCCAAUCCUUUGUUUUGUUUUGAGUUGUGGUAUUCGAGUUGCUUCGAAGUCAAAUGUUGAUUCCAUACCUUCCCCAAAUGGUGUUUUCAUACUCCAAUGUGAAUACCAAUCCUUCUCGACAAUCGAGAUUGUCAUGUCAAUCCUUUUCAACCGGCGUCUUUCUCUUCAAGUGGAUCCGAUCACUUCAACAUCAGAAAGAUCAAGUAUCUCUUCUUCUCAACGGUGUUGUUUCAUCCGUCUCCAAGUUGCCUUUGUUUUUCCCACCCUCCCUCCCUUUUGUUUUUCUUCAAGGACUAAGAUUUCUUCUUCAAGUAUCCAUUUUAUUGAUGGGAAGUUUCUCCAUUCUUUUCCGUCAAUGUUCUUAUCCGGUGAUUCUCAUGAAGAUUCUAAUGGAGCUCCAAGUUCGUCAUUCCUCAUUCCUUUCUCUUCUUCGGUGGAUUCAAGUCAAGAUUUGUCGAUUAUAUCCUUUUUUUUCUCGUCUCAAAUACCUUCCCUUGACGGUGCUCCUCAUAUUUAUUCACUUCCCGCUAUUCAAUUGUUUCGGAGUGCUCAAGAUAUCUCGAAGAUUCGUGUUUCCACUCUGUUUUCGUUCAAACUCUUUUGA